UGGCUCAAUUUCCUUGGGAGAUGGGCUCAGCCUCCUCACCUCCCCUCAGCUGAGCCUACAGUAAAGGGGCCAGGUGUCUGUCAAAGUGGGAAAGGUGCUUAAGAAAACCUUGCCCCAUUCAAGCUGGCCUCACACUU